rnacentral:lncRNA from 1 species
GAUCACCCGCAGUCAUCAUCGCCCUUUCUCUCUCAACUCUCUCAACUAAACCCUAGUUUUCAAGCACCGUUACUGGCAUAUAUCUUAGUCUUGUGAUGUUUCCUUGUCUUCUUUGGCUGACCCUGGCCUAUUAUACGCCAUGGCUCUUUGAUUCCUUGGAUACUUGAGAAGAUCUCUAAGAACCCAAACAGUUCUGGGUUGAAACCCUGCUUGUCAGCCUGUCUCAGACCAUUUUAUCGACUGUGAGUGAGAACUUCUCUUUAUUUUGUUAUGAAUCUAUGGUUUCUAAACCUAUGCUCUCAUCUAUGUUAUAUUUACCCAAAAACCCCUAGUAUAUUACCUUCGAUCAUUUCCAGAUCUUUAUAGAUCUGAGAUGAAUCGAGCACUAUUGCAUGUUUUUCUCUGAAAAUUUCUAGUUUUAAUCGAUUAUUCUAGAGUUUCCCU